GUUCUCGCGAUCUACACGGUGUUGAUAUAUUCCGGAACCAGGAAAAGUUAUAAGAAUCGUCGAAUCGUUUAAGAAACAAUUUUACUACACGCCUCCUCGUAUCGUGAUUUUAUAAUUUUACAAUCGAACGGAACGACUCGUUGCUUUGCAAUGAAAUAGAAUACAAAGUCGAUGAUGAACGAGAUGAAGGAAAUUUCUCCACGAAACCCUUAACAAUAUUAUUAACACCGUGUACGUAACCGGUGACCGGCUUUUAUUUUUUAAGGGUGUUCCAUUUCGAAGGGAGAGCGAUCCUCCCGUUUUCUCCGUUUUUAUACCGUUCGGGCCGUUCGACGAAAUUGGAAAUAUCGAUGGAAAGCAAGAGAGAGAGAAAAAAUCCCUCGAGCCUUCCUCUCCCCGUUGCUCGAAGAGGGAAACGUCGAAGAGAAGCCGGUCCGAGAUGCCGGAAAUGCGAUGGGGCGGGGCGCGAAUACCGGGUCAAAAAGAAUAAUUAAACGAAGGGUGGGAGGGGGUUGAGCCAGUACACCGGGGUGGUGAUCAGCUAUGCCGUAUUCCUGUUUCUCUAAUUGAGAUUUAUCGCGAGCCGGCUCGUUGCGUGUAGAUGAAGCGUCGAUUGUCUAGCCAUCGUCGCAAAUUACGUUGGGCUCGAUAUAUAUAUGUAUAUACAUCUUUUCUCGUUUUUUUCCAAGUGAGAACAACAGGGACAGACGGAUAGUCGCGUGACGAAAAUGUAGAACUCUGCCCGUUUCCUUUCUCUAAUGGCAGAUGACGAGAAACUCGCGAAAUUCGGAGGAUUAUUAAUCAUUCUUUCGUGUUAAAUUUUCUUAUAAAUAAAUGAUCUUUGUUAUAUUUAUAUAUUUGAUCUUUUGCUCGAGGAAACUCUCUUUCCUCGAGUCGAUCGAUAUUCCAAAUCUCCAAGUUUCGAGAUAAUUCAUCGAUAAUUGUUUGCCAAUGAUAAUAACUGGCAAUAUAGCAACUAAAAAUUCUUCGAUGUAGAAGAAACAAAGAGACAGAGUCCACUACUCGUUUGCUUUUCAAAUAUAGACUAGUCGAGAAGCAUGCACAAAUAUCGCAGCACAAUCGCAAAAGUCGCUCGCUUUAUAAAUUUGCUUAUAAAAAUUAUCGUUCUUUAGUAAUAGCCGCAUUUCCAUAAUCCAUAUUUAUCGUCGAAUCACGUUUCUUUUUCCUUUUUUUUUUUUUUUCGUUUCGAUCACGGUAUCGGUGUAUUUUUAAACCACCGUUAAAUUUUUUCCCCUUUAAAUGUAAAUCGAUCAAUCGAUACUACAAAAUUCCUUUCGUUCGAGAUGUUACGUAAACAGAAUCGUCUCGUUUUUUUCUUAUAAUCGCUCGAUCGCGUGCCACGCAUACGCGCGCACGCGCAUGUGUGCACGGUUCAUUCCAGUUCGUAAACACACACGGAGGGAGAGAGAGAGAGAGACGACAACACGUAGAGAGACAGAUUCGAGGAAAGUCGAAUAUAAACAAACGUUCGUACGUACGCGUUCGUUGGACAACACGACGCGACGCGACGACGACAACAAACGGGUGAAAGGCGUAGUAACGCUUUGGAUUAAUCGAUCGCGGCACGUUCCUCGAGACGGACGCCGAAUUCACCUCGCCUCGAUUUCUCGAUCUUCUUCUCUCUACGCGGGUAUGUAUAUUAUUUCGUUGGACGAAAUUCGUUUUCGCGAUGGAUGAAUGGACGGAUGGACGGAUGGCGCUUCGAUAAUUAAUUGGAAGUUAAUAGAUUUCGCGAAUUUCACGAAAUUGAACGGGGACGGGGGAAAAGAUCGAAUCAAAGUCGGAAUUUAACGGCGGAAAAGAGCGACGAUCGCGGAACGGUUUGCCUAUUUUCGGCAAUUUCCGAUUCGUAAAUUGCUGUUCGUGCUCGAGCGACAAACUAGUUUUGUCUCUCCGCAAUGGACACGCGCGCGCGCGCGCGCAAUCCUCGCAAUCCUCCCCCGUUUACCAUUCGUUUCAUCGAAUAUGAUAAUAGUAUAGCUAUUACACCCGCCGAUUUUCUUCCUUCCAAACACGACGUUUUUACAAAUUUCUGCGUAUUUAAUUUUUUCCACGGAGGGAAACGUGGCAAAUAUUUGGCCGAUAGUUUAUAUUUGCCACAUUUCUUAUUCCGCGUGUUACGCGCUAUAACAACUUGUCGUCCGAUGUUUUCGUCGAAAUAUGGGAUAAUAACAGUCUACCUCGUCCGAGAACUUUCUUUAUCAAUAUUGAAUCGCGUAUCCCACGUACAGUUUCAACUUUCUUCUCUCUCUCUCUCUUUAUUCUCGAUUUGUUGAUUUUCCAAGAGACGUUGUAAAUACGUUGUAUUUAAUAUUUCGUUAAAUCGUAAAAUAUCACGCGUUGAAUCGAUAUUCGAUCGAAACUUCCGCUUUCUCUUUUCGGUGAAAAAAGGAAGAGAGAGAGAGAGAGAGAAGGGAGAACGAAAAAGCAAGGCGACGAAAACCACGAUGAGAUAUACAUCCCACUUCGGAGUCGGUUCGUUUUCCUGAAAGGAAGGAAACAAGGAUGUGGGAAAUAUCCCGAUAACCGUUUCGAGAUACGUAUCGCCGGUUGAAAGCCCGUCACGGUGGAAAAAAAAGAUAUACGAUAGUUGAUAUACUCGCGUGACGUGGUCCUUAAACAUUGUUCACAGGUUUACGAGAGUGGAGGCGCGUGUCCGAGUUACGCACGGGGCACCGAGACUUGUAACGUAAUUACACGUAAGUUGAAUGCGAUAAUGCGUUGCACCCUAAGUGCAUAUAUAUAUAAAAAACGCGAUAAUCGUUUUAACAAAUAUUUAUACGCGGUUAUCGCGAAGAGUACGAUAUUUCUCUUUCACUCGUGAUACAUAUUUAAUAAUUAAGAAAAUUGAAAUCGUUUUAUUAUCUCCAAUUUGAAGCCGUUUAUUUAUUUAAAUAAGACGCUUCUUUUCGAUCGAACAAUGCAAACCCUUUUUACGUAUAUGUAUGUAUACGUUUCGGGGAAACGUGACUAAAAAAAGAUGUUCGAAUUCUUGGUAUCGGAGAAGAAAAAAAUUCGACUUGGCCGCGUAUCCACCUGUCCCCGCCGGUUAUUCCACGGCCGUCGUAUGAAUAUUUAUAUAUUUCGUACAAUGUCGUAAUUUAAUGAAUCGUAAAUGCAACUAUCCGGACCCGGCGUCGUCGCCGUCGCCGCUUCGACGACACGGCGAGAGCCAUCCCGGCCGGGUCGGCGCUGCUGCUGCCGGCCUUUACGAUCGCGUCGUUCGUUCCGCCGUAAAAAUACGAGUCAACGCGCAAAACGACACGAUGUUAAACAGAAUAAUUAUUAUACGAAUGUUUACGCACGUGUACCGAUAUUAUUGUUUUACCCGCUAUUUUAAUGAUACGCAAAUGAAAAUGAUACCGGCCGGCCGAUUCCAACACCGCGGGGGCUCCUCCGCCAAUAACUUCUUCCCGCGCUUCGAUAAUCGUUAAUUAACGAUCGUUACGAAAAAUAUUUACCUUCUUAUCGCGUGUCUUACGUAUCCUCCCGCUAGAGUUUCCGUCAUCGUCCAUCAACCGUCGUUUCCGAUAUCGGUGUAAGAGAGAGCGAUGCAAAUCGAUACACGAUCUUACUUUUCUCCCUUUUUUUUUUUUCGAAUCACGAUAAGGAAGAAAUACUAUAUAUAAAAUUCGUGUGCGAAUAUUUCCCUUUUCCACUUUCGACCCACUUGGAAAAGAAGGAGAAAGAAAAAGAAAAGGGAGGAAUAGCGGAGAGAGAGAGGGUUAAGAGGGGGAGGGGUCUACUUUCCGGCCGUCCGGUAAAUAUCGAAUCAAUUAGCAUAACGUUUUGGGCCAGGCAAAAGGCAGUAAUUGUUCGGAUGUAAACCGAUAUCUGCUUCUCGCAGCGCAUCACUGCAAAUGCAUUCUCCCAUUCCCGCGAGUUUCUCCCAUCCCCUGUGCGCGGCGCCUAUACCCUCCUCCUCCUCCUCCUCCUCCUCCUCCCUUUUCCAACGCCGCGUGCGGGACGAGGAGCGCGCGAGAGAGAGAGAGAGAGAGAGAGGCGGGUAUACACACGGUAUCCAGUUGAGAAUAUUCCGUGGCAAAAGGGGAUUCUGCAGCCGCGGUGGAAAACACAACGAGCGCGUUCUCUGUCGCGCAACAGGGCCACCCUCUACUCCCCCCUCCCGUUCCCGGUUAAAACGGCCGAGUACUCGUGUUUAGAUAUCGUUAAACCGCAUUUUCGACACUACCAUUAUGUAAAGCACGUGGUAGAGGCCGAUAAGUCGAACAAUGGGCGCGCGCGCUCCCGCCCAAACGGGACGGGUUACCGACUUUUCCACGCUUCGUUUCCAUUUCCACUCCCUCUCUCUCUCUUUCUCUCUCUCUUCUCGUGCUUCGUAGAAGCGAGUUCGAUUAUAGAUUAAUAUUCUUUCUUCUGUCGGGAUUAUUUUCGAAAUCUUGCGAUUAUGAUGAUAUUCGUACGAUACCUUUCUUUCCCUCUCUUCUCGUAGAAGGUAAAGCGAGUUAUUUUUUUCCUUUUUUAUCUCGAGCAAGCCGAUGAUUUUCGAAAUCUUAUGAUUAUGAUGAUAUUCGUACAAUACCUCGUGCUUCGAUUUCAUAGAAGGUAAAGCGAGUUACUUUUUCCUCUUCUAUUGGGCCAGACAAUGAUUUUCGAAAUUUUGUGAUUAUAAUAUUCGUAUAGUAGAUUUCCACCUCUCUCUCUUCUCGUGCUUCGAUUUUAUAGAAAGUAAAGUGAGUUAUUUUAUCGGCCAGUGAUUUUUCAAUGAUUUUGAAAAUUUUGUGAUUAUAAUAUUGGUAUAGUAGAUUUCCACCUCUCUUUCUUUCUCUUCUCGUGCUUCGAUUUCAUAGAAGGUAAAGCGAGUUAUUUUUUCUCUUUUAUCGGGCCAGCCGAUGAUUUUGGAAAUCUUGUGAUUAUAAUAUUCGUGUAGUAGAUGUAGAUUUCCACCUCUCUUUCUUUCUCUUCUCGUGCUUCGAUUUCAUAGAAGGUAAAGCGAGUUUGAUUAUAGAUUAAUAUUCCUUCUUCUACUUUUAACGGGCCAGUCGAUUAUUUUGGAAAUCUUACGAUUAUGAUGAUAUUCGUACAAUAUCUCUCUUUCUCUCUCUUCUCGUACUUCGAUUUCAUAAAAGGUAAAGCGAGUUACUAUUUCGUUACUAUUCUUCUAUCUCGAGCAAGCCGAUGAUUUUUUGGAAAUCUUGGGAUUGUCGACGAGAAAGUUGAUGAGGGAAUAGGAUGAAUGUAAAGCGUUAUUAGAUGUUGUUAUUAUCGGGCGGAUUUUUUAGACGGGUGUAAUAAUAAUAAUAAUAGUAAUUGCUAUUAUUAUUAUUAUUAUAAGGCGGAAAAGGAAACUUUCUAUCGUUUCGUCGAAACGAUUCCACAGCCGCGGAUCCCCGUUAGCUCGGCUCCCCCCUCCGCCAGGGCCGUACGGAACAAAAUAAUACUUUUUACUACCGCGAUCUUUACGAUCCGUACUGUAUCGAGUAUAAAGAAGAUAAUAAAGGAAGACGCACGUGGAUAAUGGCUGGUAUCAUGCGCGUAUUACUUGGUGCAUUACCAUUUUUAUUGCCGACUUUUUUUUUUCCCUCUCUCUCUUUCUUUUUUUCUUUUACGAUCUACUUCUCCCACGAGUUGGCGCGCAUGCUUUCCCCUCUCUCCCUUUCUCGUUCUCCCUCGAUCCGUCCGAUCGUGGCAUGCACCCUCGAUCAAGGUCGAAUUUAUUUCACUUUUCUUUUUCUCUCUCUCUCUCUCUCUCCGGAAGUUGGAGAGAACAUUUACGCGCGUUUAUAAGAAUAGUUUAGCGUACGAAAAUGCACGGAUCGUUGUAUUUCCGAACGGUGUGUAAAAAGAUCGGUGUCAAAUUUCGACCAGAUCCCAUUUCCAAGAUUGAUUAUAUAUAUAUAUAUCGAUUCGUUUUUCGUAUAUCACGUACAUUGUUGGAGAGUUAUUAACGUUUUUAUUUUUAAUUCGACGAGGAAGGAUUAUCAUCGAUCGAUUCGAUCGUUUGUAAUAUCUUGGCCGCGUAAUUUAAAAUCCAUAAAUAUUAAAAAAAGAAUUGGGGGAUAUCCCCCUCCCGAAAAAAAGUUAAACCCGUUUUUUUUUCUUCUCUCUUUUCCACGUCCGUCGCAACGUUACGUUACGUUACGUUACGUUACAUUACGUCACGUUACAUUGCAAGACAUCGGAGAGAAACAUAAGCCACCUGUGUAUAUCCUCUCCUAUAUCUUAUAACGAUAUAACGCUAUGACAGAUGUAAAAUAAAAUGAAAAAGAGAGGAAAAAAACGAACGUAACGUUGUUAAUAAACAUGGACAAUAAUUCCAUGUUCCCAAAGCGGACAAAUAUUAAAAACGGUAAAACAACGGUCGUAAGUGUAAGCAUAGACACACACACACACACACACACACACACACACACACACACACACACACACUUUCCUCCUCUCUUGGAACAUCCUCCUCUCUUUCGUUCCAUUAUUCUAACGUCAUCGAGUACUCGAGAGUGGCUCGUUUCCGCGGAGAGAGAGACUUCGACCGGAUUUUCUCGUUUCAAGGUGCCGGCACGCGCGCAGAACUCGUUUGACGCGUGGAAUCAUUGGAACGUUAACGCGCGGCCAAUCAUCCUUAUCAUCGUGUUACGACGUAAUUACCGUGUCGUAAUGGGGAACGUUUGUCGCUUUCGAUUUCGUACGUUGACCUGGAACACGCUUUAUUAAUCGCCGCGCGGAUAUCUUUCUUUCUUUCUUUCUUUCUU
rnacentral:lncRNA from 1 species